rnacentral:rRNA from 1 species
GCAGUCGAGGGGUAGAGUUAGCUUGCUAACUUGAGACCGGCGCACGGGUGCGUAACGCGUAUGCAAUCUACCUUGUACAGAGGGAUAGCCCAGAGAAAUUUGGAUUAAUACCUCAUAGUAUUAUCGGGAGGCAUCUUCUGAUUAUUAAAGUUCCAACGGUACAAGAUGAGCAUGCGUCCCAUUAGCUAGUUGGUAUGGUAACGGCAUACCAAGGCAAUGAUGGGUAGGGGUCCUGAGAGGGAGAUCCCCCACACUGGUACUGAGACACGGACCAGACUCCUACGGGAGGCAGCAGUGAGGAAUAUUGGACAAUGGGCGCAAGCCUGAUCCAGCCAUGCCGCGUGCAGGAAGACGGCCCUAUGGGUUGUAAACUGCUUUUAUACAGGAAGAAACACUGCUACGUGUAGCAGCUUGACGGUACUGUAGGAAUAAGGAUCGGCUAACUCCGUGCCAGCAGCCGCGGUAAUACGGAGGAUCCAAGCGUUAUCCGGAAUCAUUGGGUUUAAAGGGUCCGUAGGCGGCCUUAUAAGUCAGUGGUGAAAUCUCCUAGCUCAACUAGGAAACUGCCAUUGAUACUGUAGGGCUUGAAUGUUUAGGAAAGUAACUAGAAUAUGUAGUGUAGCGGUGAAAUGCUUAGAUAUUACAUGGAAUACCAAUUGCGAAGGCAGGUUACUACUAAAUGAUUGACGCUGAUGGACGAAAGCGUGGGUAGCGAACAGGAUUAGAUA